rnacentral:rRNA from 1 species
UACGAAGGUGGCAAGCGUUGUUCGGAUUUACUGGGCGUACAGGGUGCGUAGGCGGUUGGAUAAGCCCUCCGUGAAAUCUCCAGGCUUAACCUGGAAAGUGCAGAGGGGACUGUUCAGCUAGAGGAUGGGAGAGGAGCGCGGAAUUCCCGGUGUAGCGGUGAAAUGCGUAGAGAUCGGGAGGAACACCCAGGGGGAAACCAGCCGACUGGGCAUCUGCUGACGCUGAGGUGCGAGAGCGUGGGGAGCGAACCGG